rnacentral:tRNA from 1 species
CCAUCAGUAGUUCAGUGGUAGAAUGCUCGCCUGCCACGCGGGCGCUCCGGGUUCGAUUCCCGUCCGAUGCA